AUACGUAGGGUGCGAGCGUUGUCCGGAAUUACUGGGCGUAAAGAGCUCGUAGGUGGUUUGUCGCGUCGUCUGUGAAAUUCCGGGGCUUAACUCCGGGCGUGCAGGCGAUACGGGCAUAACUUGAGUACUGUAGGGGAGACUGGAAUUCCUGGUGUAGCGGUGAAAUGCGCAGAUAUCAGGAGGAACACCGGUGGCGAAGGCGGGUCUCUGGGCAGUAACUGACGCUGAGGAGCGAAAGCAGGGGUAGCGAACAGGAUGAGAUACCCUGGUAGACCAUGCUGUAAAGGGUGGGCGAUAGGUGUAGGGGUCUUCCACGACUUCUGUGCCGUAGCUAACGCAUUAAGCGCCCCGCCUGGGGAGUACGGCCGCAAGGCUAAAACUCAAAUGAAUUGACGGGG
rnacentral:rRNA from 1 species